ensembl:lncRNA
AUAGUUGUAUCAAAACAAUGUAAAUUGUGAUUGACUCAAUGACUCAUCAAAUCAUAACCUGAUAGACCUACCAUGUAUCAAGACCACAUAUCUUGUACUGUGAAGGAGAACCUUCACAUUUGGCUCACCCACAUUUGUGGUAAUGUGUUUCAUUACUAUUACACAGGCAUAAAGAAAAAACUGGUAGCACUCGCCAACAAAAAGGAAAAUCAGGUCCUGCAGGGCUGGAUUCGGGCGAUCCUCAAUCACUUUUGGUUCUCAUGCUCAUCUUGUGGUGAGUGCUGAGGUAAUAACCCCAAUGCAUAAAGAAUGUAUAAAGAUUGCACUGAAAUCCAGUCAGAAGAUUAUCAAAUAGUCUUGAAAUGUAAUAUAUUCUGUAGGAACUGAAGCGACGGUGGACCUCAGUCCUCCACCACAUCUGUGGGGAGCACACAUGGGAGCAAGAUGGAAGAAAGUGGGCAUGCCCUCACCCUGCUCUCAACCCAGAUCAGCAAAGGACAAAGCGAUGGCUCCAGCCAGAGUCUCAAGUGUUCAAGUCUUUACGGAAUAUUGUUGAAGAUAAAGACUUCUGAAAGACCUUGAGCAGAUGACUCGCUUCAAACAUACAGGAUCUUUGGAGGUGUACCACAACGUUAUGCUAAAAUAUCUGCGAAACGACUGCAUUUUCGGUACGACACCAUGGUAGCCCGAACACAACUAGCCAUCCUGGACAACAAUUACAAUGUCGGCCGACAGCAGACAGAGACUUCUGAAGGUAUUGAGAUUUCAUAAGUAAGCCCCUAAAUGUGUUUGUCACAACUUGGCUAAGAAAUAAUGUUCUCUGUGUAGGACUUCCAAGAUACAGUAUGGUGUUCCCAAAACAGAGCAAGGAAUGGGUAGCCAAGAAGAUCUAUGAGCCUACUAGUCAGUACUUCACGCAACACCUUGUGAAACUCGUGUUGGAGAGAAGGGAGGAAAGAACACGGAAGACAUUCCACAUGUCCAGCGGCCUGCAAACAUUGCCACUAAGGAGAGACC